rnacentral:rRNA from 1 species
GACGAACGCUGGCGGCGCGCUUAACACAUGCAAGUCGAACGGAAAGGCCUGCUUUCCCUUGUGGAUUGCGGGUACUCGCGUGGCGAACGGGUGAGUAACACGUGAGUGAUCUGCCCCCAACUUGGGUAUAAGCCUGGGAAACUGGGUCUAAUUCCCGAUAGGACUGCAGGGUGGUGCCUGUGGUGGAAAACGAUUUUCUAGUGGUUGGGGAUGAGCUCGCGGCCUAUCAGCUUGUUGGUGGGGUAAUGGCCUACCAAGGCGGCGACGGGUAGCCGGCCUGGGAGGGUGGACGGCCACAUUGGGACUGAGAUACGGCCCAGACUCCUACGGGAGGCAGCAGUGGGGAAGAAUGCACAAUGGGCGGAAGCCUGAUGCAGCGACGCCGCGUGGGGGAUGACGGCCUUCGGGUUGUAAACUCCUUUCGACCGCGAGGAAGCCACCUGGUUGGAAGGGUGGUGACGGUAGUGGUAGAAGAAGCACCGGCUAACUACGUG